rnacentral:ribozyme from 2 species
GCUGCUCGAAAUUUCGCACACCUCUUCGUGGUGAGCAGCAGGCAACGAUCUUAUGGUCGGCGAAGAUGUGAA